CUGCUCAGUAUAUGUUUAACACGUGAAGGUCUGACAAUGGCGGAUUACCCUCCUCCUUCCGUUAAAACCCUUAAAAAGAAGAAAAGUACCCCCAUUCUCAAUCUCAAUCUUCUUUCUCUUUAGGAAAAGUUCAGAAAUUUUGAUUACAAUCAGCACCAAUUUCUUCAAGUAAACCUCUUCUUCCUCAUUAAUUUAUAGAAUCUAAUAAAAAUUUAUGUUUGAAAUGGGAGUUGUAAGGAAGAAAGGAAUGUUGUUAUCAGUGACUGCAGUUUCUGCUGAAGAUUUUGCUGUAAAUGUAGAAGAAGAUUUACCUGAGAAUUAUGAAGAUUGGUUUCCCGAGAAAGAUGUUAAAGAUAAUAAAAGGGCAGGGAUUCUUCUUCAUCCCACAUCUUUACAUGGGAAUUAUCAAUUAUGGUAUUGGUGAUCUUGGUGAUGACGUUUUUAAGUUCUUGGAUUGACUUCAUCAUUCCGGUUGUUCUGUCUGGCAGGUGCUUCCUCAUGCUCCACCAGGGAGGAAGGCUAAUGAAGAAGGGUUACCUUACUCUGGCCAGGUAAUGUGGAAUCAAAAAACGCAAGAUAGGUCACUGAAAGAUACAUUCGUUGAUAAGUGCCUGGUGAAAGGGAGGGAUGCAGAGCGUGUGAAGUUUGAAGCUGUGGCUAGUGUAAAGGAACCUUUAAUAGCCAAGGCUGCAGAAAGGCUCAUUCUAAGUGAAGGGGAGCUCAUGAAACAGCUUGAAGAAUUUCGUAAAGAAAUUUCUGGUACAGUAUACCAUAAAAGUUCUUUAUUUAUGUGUUCAUGAGAUUGGUCAAGGAUUUUGUUUGCUGUAUCAAUCAACCACUUGAUCAAUUUCAUACUCCAAUAUGAUAGAUAAACUAGAAGAACAGUAUAAUGCACAAUUGUGCAAUAGAAACUCAACUUGAUUGCUUUAGCGAAAAAGUUAUACGUAUUCUCUGUCCUAGGAGUUGUAUCUUUUUCAUCUUCUUCUUUUCCUUCAGAAAUUCUCCCUCUAUCCUACAAGUACUAAUCUGCACCUUAUUUGUAGGUUAGAGUUACUUCUAAAUGUUAGUCAUUCUAGGAAAGGAUACUCCCCAUGUCUGCAAUCUUCUAAUGUAAUUAUAUGACACCUGCUAAGUUUUCCUUCUAGGAUUAGAUUAGGAAACUACUUUUGGAACUACCGGGAGGGGAAUUCUUUUGUUUGUAAACCUAGAUAUAGGGUAUUUUGAUGAGCCAAUCCUCAGAAAUGGAUCAAUAUGUGGUUCUUGUUUCCUAAGUAGAAAUUUCUGUUAUAUCUUUCAUGGAUUUGAAAAUGUCAAUUGCUUCUUCUCAAGCUCGUCAUCCAACAUCUAUCAAAAUCUACAGACACUACAAAGACAAGUCUGAAGUCGACGAUUGGGAUGAGAACUUAUUUCCAAACCGAACACUACCACAUGGUGGUGAUAUUCAUGAUGAACCAGCACCACCUCCUUAUAUUAUUCUCAUGCAAGGACCUCCCAAUGUCAGCAAGAUCCUUUAUGACUUGAUGCAGAGUAAUGAUUCCUAACCGUUGUUUUGGUAGUACUGAUGUAGUUUGGGAAGUCCCUGUUGAUUAAAUCUCUAAUCAAGCAUUUGCUUACUAAAUUUACUGUAAUUACACAGGGGAUGGUUAUUCCUUAAUCUUGUUUCUUUAAAGUGACAAAAUAAGAUCAUGGUAUCUGUAAUAACAAGUAAUAAUUCUGUUGAUAUGUUUUUUUAGGGUUUUAAAAUGUCAAUUGCUUCUUCCGGUUCCACUUCUUCUCGAGUUUAUCACCCAGCUUUCGAAAUUUAUCGAGACCAUAAGCAAACAAGUGUGAAAUAUACAGAUACCACGAAAACAAGGGUGAAGAGGACGAUUCGGAUGGUGAACCAGCGCCACCUCUUUAUAUUGUCCUAGUUCAAGGACCUCCCAAUCUCAGUUGGGAAGUCCCUGCUGAUUAAUGUCCUGAUGAUAUCAAUGGCAUGGAUGCUGCAAAAAAAAAAGGCUUCAAAGAUGAAACAGAACUGACUAAAACCAUAGAGCGUCUCCAGGAUCAAUUCCAGACUGAAAUAUGUGAAGGAGCAACAAUAUUCCACCUAUCUGGUCUUAAUGAAUAUGAGUUGUUCAAAAUGUUGGAACUUGGAAGUACAAAAACUGGCUGAAGCCAUAUCAAUGCUCCGUUUCUGUACCCCAUCUUGGCGAGCGGAACAUCCUUAUGUGCUGGUAGAUCGUUUUGAAGAUGUUACUCCAGAAAAGCUGCACAAGGAUGCAAAUUGCAAGAGAAACAUAACUCUGUGUGGCUAUCUUAUAGGUUGUAAUAUUAAGAGAAAAGCUAAGGUGCAUCUUGCUGGUGUUGGUGAUUUUCGUUUAGAUGGUGUUAGAAGCACAGCUGAUCCUGUCCCUUUAUCUUCUGAGAUGGAAAAGGAAAAUGAUUUUUUCGAACCAACUCACACGAAGAAAAAGAGAUUCAGAACAGGUUGGAGGUUCAUGAUGUUCCUUUCAGUAUGGUUGAAAAUUUUGAUCCUUGUCAUCCCAUUCUCGUUGGAGGUAUCAGUCAUGAAGAGGAGAAUGUUGGUUAUAUGCAUCUAGAAUCUUAUGUGAGGAUUUGAAGAGGAGUUCAGAGAGUAGAAAAUUGGAGAUUUUUUCUUUUUUUACUAGUAUAUUCUGCAAGUGUGGAUAAUUUUUAUCUAUUUUUGUGUUUAUACUUUAAUGGUGAUCAAUGUGGUGCCACCGAGUCUGGUGUC